rnacentral:ncRNA from 2 species
CGGCGUUCUCAGGGCGGGGUGAAAUUCCCCACCGGCGGUGGUGGCGGGCGGUUCGCAAGGCCGCUCGCACGAGCCCGCGAGCGCCCGGUGGUCCGCAGGGCUCACCGGGGUCAGCAGAUUCGGUGCGAUUCCGAAGCCGACGGUCACAGUCCGGAUGAAAGAGAGCGCGU